CCGUCGUCAUCCUGUGUAUUUCAAAGCCACCAGUUGUAUGGUUAUCCCGCCAUCGGUCGGCUUUUAAAGUUUCAAGGUGGUAGUGAAACUGUGUUAUCCCUUAGUCGCCUCUUACGACAACCACGGAAAAGAGGGGAUGGCUAUAUUCUUUACUGACGUAGCCAAACAGCUUAAAUAUCAGCAUAUACAGGCAUUACUAAAAUGUCUAGGAUUAGAAAGAAGAUGACCCGCGCUGAGAUAUAAAAAGCUUAUAAUUUUAUCAC
rnacentral:misc_RNA from 1 species